rnacentral:misc_RNA from 1 species
GCGUUCGCUCUUCAUCGGAAUCGUUCGACUCUGAAGACUCAGAUGACUCAGACUUGUCAUCGUUGUCGAUGUUGUUGGUUUCUAUUUCUUUGGCCGUUUUGUGUUGGGACUCUUCGGCUGUCAGGGGGUCGGUGUGGCGUUUGGCGUGAGUUGGUUCAUCCUGUACCAAAGCCUCUGGUUGCGGCGGAGAUUGGAACCUGUCUGCCGCCUCGCUAAGGAGCUCCAAUUCCUGUUCCAACUGCCUGCACGAAGCAUUGGCUGUGACGUAUGCAGAAGCUAACAGGAAGCAACCCAGGACGACUGAGCACAGUACCACCGUCACUGCUGCGAUCUUAGUGAUCUGUACUGCUGCACUGUGGGGUUUGUGGUACGCCGGUGGCGGUUCAGAGCCGUACACUUCGGAGGGUGCAU